GAUAAACGCUGGCGGCGUGCCUAACGCAUGCAAGUCGGACGGGAGCGCCUGCGGGCGUCGACCGUGGCGGACGGGUGAGGAACACGUGGCUGACCUGCCCAGGUCCGGGGAUACCCUGCGGAAACGCGGACUAAUACCCCAUGGGGCUUGCGUUGGGGGGACCGUGAGGAAGCAAAGGUAGGCGACACCGGGCGUGGAGGGGGCGUGCGGCCGAUUAGCUGGUUGGUGGGGUAACGGCCUACCAAGGCGGUGAUCGGAGCUGGUC
rnacentral:rRNA from 1 species